rnacentral:rRNA from 1 species
UACGAAGGGGGCGAGCGUUGUUCGGAAUUACUGGGCGUAAAGGGCGCGCAGGCGGCUCUGAAAGUCAGAUGUGAAAGCCCCGGGCUUAACCUGGGAAUUGCAUUUGAUACUCUGGAGCUUGAGUGUGGGAGAGGAGAGUGGAAUUCCCAGUGAGAGGUGAAAUUCGUAGAUAUUGGGAAGAACACCGGUGGCGAGGGCGGCUCUCUGGACCACAACUGACGCUGAGGCGCGAAAAGCGUGGGGGAGCAAAACAGGAU